CCUACGGGAGGCAGCAGUGAGGAAUAUUGGUCAAUGGACGAGAGUCUGAACCAGCCAAGUAGCGUGAAGGAUGACUGCCCUAUGGGUUGUAAACUUCUUUUAUAUGGGAAUAAAAUGUUCCACGUGUGGGAUUUUGUAUGUACCAUAUGAAUAAGGAUCGGCUAACUCCGUGCCAGCAGCCGUGGUAAUACGGAGGAUCCGAGCGUUAUCCGGAUUUAUUGGGUUUAAAGGGGGCGUAGGUGGAUUGUUAAGUCAGUUGUGAAAGUUUGCGGCUCAACCGUAAAAUUGCAGUUGAAACUGGCAGUCUUGAGUACAGUAGAGGUGGGCGGAAUUCGUGGUGUAGCGGUGAAAUGCUUAGAUAUCACGAAGAACUCCGAUGGCGAAGGCAGUUCACUGGACUGCAACUGACACUGAGGCUCGAAAGUGUGGGUAUCAAACAGGAUUAGAUACCCGAGUAGUC
rnacentral:rRNA from 1 species